CUUUGAAAUCAACGUAUAAUUGAACCUUAUGAAAGACACCAAGACAAUGGUGUAAGGGUAUUAUCUCGUUCCUUUUACUGUUGAGAGAGAUUUUAACGGGGAUAGGGUGAUAAUUGAUAGUAAUAUCAGUUAUAAGAUACACAAAGUGUAGAAAGAGAUAGUAGCAGUUUAAUAUAAGAGUUUAUAAGACAUAGGACUAAUCGUUGGUAAUCACAAAGCAACCCUUUGUAUAGGGGAGAUAAAAGACUUGUUAGUAGUAAUGCCUGUGGUGGGUAGAGUGAAGGCAAGAGAUACCAAUAAACCAAUAAUGUAGUUGAUACCUAGUGAUAGGAGUAUAAGAUUAGAGCCUAGUACGAGUAGCACAAAUCUACAUAUACUGAGAGAAAAUGAUAGUAUACAAGGUCAAUGUAUAACAAUUUUUGCCUAAAGCGUGUGAAAGUUAAUAAGAGAGAUUUAUUCUAGUAAAAAACAUAGGUUAAGAAGAAUAGUGGGUCGCUCCCCUAUGAGGCUCUUAACUUGCUAGUGGUCGAACAAUAAGUGGUUAUAUUAAAUUAGUAUGAGGAAUACCGAUUGUACUUUGAUUUCAA
rnacentral:sRNA from 12 species